GCAAGUCGAACGGGAUCCAAAAGCUUGCUUCUGGUGAGAGUGGCGAACGGGUGAGUAACACGUAGAUGAUCUGCCUUAAGGUUGGGGAUAGCUCAUAGAAAUAUGGGGUAAUACCGAAUAAGUUUGUGGGAGUAAAUGCCCAUAAGGAAAGGGGCUUAGGCCUCGCCUUGAAGAUGAGUCUGCGCCUUAUUAGUUAGUUGGUGGGGUAAUGGCCUACCAAGACGACGAUAAGUAGCCGGCCUGAGAGGGUGAGC
rnacentral:rRNA from 1 species